ACCCGUGAACUCCCGUGUGUGUGGGCGUUUGGGCGUGAUACAUUAGUUUUCCAUCACUGUUAAGGAAGCUGCAGGUAUAAUAUUGUACGUGGAGGUCUUCCCAUCGCCAUAGACAGCUCAUAAAAGGAUAAAUCAGCGUAAAUACAGCCUCCCCUCCCCGCCGCAUGCCCCGCCCACCGUCUCCCCGCAGCCAGUCCAAUACACUUCCAGUCAGGCCUUCCCAGUACAUUGUGUCACCCGGCUUCUGGCUGAACACAAUCACACUCACGUCAGUUACCGUACCCAAGCAAACACUGUACAUGAAGCCUAACUGUUGGUGUAGGUUAUACGAGCGGAAAGGAUUGAUCUGAGCUCCUAAACGUCAUUUUAUUGUUGUGUCUGAAGGAGUUGUCGUAUAGCUGGCAUCGCCCUCCCUGGCCCGCUAGAUUCAACUAAGGCCGCCUCUCUUUUCCUUCAUUUCUUACGUUAUAGGCGUGAUACAUUUGUUCUCCAGCAGUCGUAAGGAAGGUACAGGCAUAGGACAGUAGGUGGAGGUCUUCCCAUGGCCGUAGACAGCUUAUAAAGUGAUAAAUAAACAUAUAUACAGCCAGAUCGAAUAGGCAGGAAGGGGGGUGGGGUCGCACUCUUCGGCAGGGACAAUCUUAAGUGCCAAGUGUCUACGAGAGUGCCACAAAGGGUAUGGCCAUAGUAUUCAAGGGCCAUGGACCACCGAGGGGCCAUUAGAGGGAAGAUACUGUGUGCCAUGGUGCCAAGUGUACGAGGGUGCCACAGAGUUAGGUAGACGCCCCUGCCAUGGCCUUACUCAACUAGGGCCAUGGACCACCGGAGGGCCAUUGGAGGGGAGAAAUAAUGGUCCAUAGUGCCAUAUUUUGUGAUUUUCAAGGAGUAGCUGUGAAUGGCCUCAAUGAAGAAUGCGAGAAGUCUGAACAUGAGAUACAGGAGGAGGAGGGCCUGAUACGACAAGAAUGUGGCUUCACCUACAGGGGAUGCAUUUGAGAUUAAGCUCUGAAGAACAAAGGGAGAACAGAAGAAAGGAAGGAAGGCCAUCUUGGAAGACUCAAGAACCAGUCACCCCAGUCCAAGGAAAGGUCACAAGAGGUCAAGGAGGUCACAGUAUGAAGGAGCAGUCCAGUCAAGUUAUUGAAAAGGGAAGGGAAGGGAUAGGAAAGGGAAGGAAAUGAAAUGAAAGGGAAGGGAAGGGAAGGAACAGAGAAGUGUAUAUAUAGUUAAGCUUAAAGUCACAUACAGUUAGAUACAUACAGUUACACUCACAUAGAUUUACAUACAGUUUCGAUGGUGCGUUUGACGAAGGCGUUUGACUCAGUGGGUAGCGGAUUGGCCCGGCCCACAGUGUUAUGGACUCGCUCAACACAAGUACAGUAAACCCUCGAUAUAACGGACUAAUUUUCAUUUCUAUUUAUUCAUUUAUUUUUUUCACAUCAGAGGACACUUUUCAAGGGCAGUAAGGAGUACAAAAAAAAAGCCUGCUACUCGCCACUCCUAUAAAAGAUAAAAGUAAAGAGUAGCCAAAAGAGAGGUCAAUUUCGGGUGGAGAGGUGUCUUGAUACACACUCAAUUUUGGGGGAACUUAGUCCGUUAGGGCCGAAAGUCUGUUAUAAGCGGCGAAGAUUUAAAAAAACGUAAAAUAAUAAAACGACGAAGGAGUAAACGUAGGUAUAUAUAUUUUUUAUUGUGUAUGUUGUGUGCACGUUGUCUAUAGGGCCGCACAGCCCACUUGGCGACGCACUCCGAGGCACUGAGGUUGCUAGGUUGUGAGUGGGGUCUUGCGUGGGGGUCAUAUUGUUACGGGUAUGGGUAGAAUUUUAUAAGUGCAGCGAGUAGCAGGCUUAUUUUUUAUUAUUGUUUACUUUUUGUGUGCCCUUGAGCUGUCUCCUCUUGUAAAAAAAAGAAAAAAAUUGCGCCAAUCUCUCACUGGCAGACGAAACUUUUUUUUGUAGUUUCUGGUGUGUUAUGAAAUAAUGUGCUAACUGUUUCUGUCACAUAAUUAAAUGAUUGCCUUUUCAAUGCCUGGUGUACACAGCACCUGUAAAAUAACUUGCAGAGAGAAAUCUUCAACUUGCUUACAGUUUCUAUAUUUCGCACCGGGUUCAAUUCCUGGGCGGAGUUGAAAAAUUUGGGCGGUUUUUCUGAUACCCCUGUCCACCCAGCAGUGAAUGGGUACCAGGUAUUAAUCGAGGGUUGUGUACCGUCUCCUGGGAUCUGUUCCCUUCUCCUAUAAUUCCUUCCCCUUCUGUCUCUCUCCGGCAUAUGACCACAGAUGUUGCGCCCACUGAACAAAACCCUUUAUAUUUCACUCACAACCCACAAAGAUCACAAGUGGAUAAACUAGAACAAAACCAGGCUAAUUAAUGUUUUUCCUGCCAUGUAUUCCCCCAGUGCGCAUGCGUGAUGGACACCAGAGUGACUUAUUUCUGCGAGGAGGUAUUUCUCGGAACACGCACGCUGCCGCCAUGUCCCUUCCCGCGCUGUGUAUUCCCGCGCCCCACAACGCGUGCCCAAUAAAUUUACACUAAGCAAAAAUAACUUAACCUAACCUACCUAAGUGAGGGUCUAGCCCCCUCGACAUUCUUUAAGCUGUGCCUGUACCAACACUCACAAACACUUGGCUAUUUUCCAUUACAUUUACGUCUUGGAUUGAUGCAUAAGACUUUCCUGUGGUAUAAAUACGUUCUUCAUUUAAUUAUUUGUGACAGAAACAGUUAGCAGAUUAUUUCAUAACACACCGAAAACUAUCCCCCCCAAAAAAAGGUUUUGUCUGCCAGUGCGAGAUUGGCGCACUUGUAAAAUUUUACCCAUACCUGUAACAAUCCUGCAAGACCCACUGGCAACCUGGCAACCUCAGUGCCUCAGAGUCUGUCGCCAAGUGUGGCCGUACAGACACCGUGCACACAACAUACACGAUAAAAAAAGUAUAUAUACAUACCUGCGUUUACUGGGUUUGUUGUUUGAUUAUUUUACGUUUUUUUUAAAUCUUCGCCGCUUAUAAUGGACUUUCGGCACUAACGAACUAAGUUCCCCCCAAAUUAGUUUGUUAUAUUGAAGGUUUACUGUACUUGUGUUGAGCGAGUCCAUGACACAGUGGGCCGGGCCAGUCCACGACGCACUGAGUCAAUGGAAACCACGAGGAGGAAUAUAUUUCAUGGGGUGGGCUGAGGCAGACUACUGGAACCCAAGGAUGGGGCAGCAGAUAAAGGGCGGAGGGCAAGGUGGCUACUUACAGGGCGCAGUUUACAAAAAACAUUCUUGAUCAGUCCCCAUGGAUUUCUGACCCUCGGGGCUUUGUGGUGCAGUGGUUACCACACUCGGCUCACAACCUUUAGAGCCCGGGUUCGAUUCCCAGAUGGAGUUGAAAAAUUUGGGUGGCUUUUCUGAUACCCUACGCCCCUGUCCACCCAGGAGUGAAUGGGUACCAGGUAUUAAUCGGGGGUUGUGUCCCGUCUCCUGGGGUCUGUUGCCUUCUAUAAUUCCUUCCCCUUCUGUCUCUCUCUGGCAUAUGACCACAGAUGUUGCGCCCACUAAACCAAACUUUCCAACUUUUUCUGACCUUCUCCGUUAUAUCCGAAAUCCAUUAUAAGCGGGUCUGUUAUAUCCAGGGUUUACUGUACAUGUAUAUGGUUAAGCUGUUGUAGUUACCAGAAGCGGGUGGUUGAAAGACUAUUCUCGGUCGGUUCCCGUGGAUUUCUCACCCUCUGACCUUGUCCGUUAUAUCCGAAAUCCAUUAUGAGCGGGUCCGUUAUAUCCAGGGUUUACUGUAUUAUGUAUGUAGUUAACUCGGUAGCAGUGACAGGCCAAAUUUGUGGCUUUACCGUGUAGCAGCGACAGGCCAAAUUUGUGCCAUGAUAUAACCCCCAAAAAAUAGAUGAUACAUAAUCUGAUCAUAAAUGCUUUGAUAUAUAUUAUGAAAUGGUUUGUGUGAGGGGUGAUUUUUUUUUCUCAUUUUUCUCACUUAGAGGGACCAUUAAGAAACAUGAUCCACGCUGCUACCGGGUUAAUAAUAAGCUGUUGUAGUUACCAGAAACAGGUGGUUCAAAACUAUUCUUGGUCGGUCCCUGUGGAUUUCCGACCCUCUGACCUUGUCUGUUAUAUCCGAAAUACAUUAUAAGCGGGUCCGUUAGAUCCAGGGUUUACUGUAUAGUUGAAGUCAGUUCGCCUACAGUUGAGAUAGUUAGUUUUAUACAGUUUAGAACUAGCUUUCUUUCUCUCUGUUCAGAUAAUAUUGCUUGUGUUGUAGAGUUCAGCUUCCUCUCACUAGGUAGGCAUAUA